GAGCACUCGGUCUAGGGGUAUAAUUUUCGCUUCGCAUUGCCAUAUGAUGCGCCUUGUGAAAGGUCACCGGUUCGAAUCCAGUAUUGUCCA